GUUUUUGAAACGCCGUCAUAGGCGCUGCUGCCUCCGCUGCUGAAAAUUCACUCUCUGUCUGUUGCUCAUCGUCGGCAACGGACCAAGAAUAAAAUUCCCAGCAACAAAUUCGCGCAGAAAAAAUACAUAAAAAUCUAUUAGAAAAAAAUACGCGUAUAAAAAGAAUUAUCAAGGCGA